rnacentral:rRNA from 1 species
AACGAACGUUAGCGGCGCGCUUAACACAUGCAAGUCGAGCGAGAAAGGGAGCAAUCCCCGGGUACAGCGGCGCACGGGGUGAGUAACACGUAGGUAAUCUACCUUCGAGUGGGGGAUAACCUUCCGAAAGGAGGGCUAAUACCGCAUGAGACCACGACUUCGAGAGGAGAUGGGGGUCAAAGCCGGCCACUUCACGAAAGCUGGCGCUUGAAGCGAGCCUGCGGCCCAUCAGCUAGUUGGUAGGGUAACGGCCUACCAAGGCAUAGACGGGUAGCUGGUCUGAGAGGAUGAUCAGCCACACUGGAACUGAGACACGGUCCAGACUCCUACGGGAGCAGCAGUGGGGAAUC